AAAACUGGCGGCAUGCCUAAGAAUGCAAGUCGUACGAGGUGGCCCUUUGAACUCUGUACUUGUAUAGAGCGAUUUGGAUCUCCACCUAGUGGCGAAAGGGUGAGUAACACGUGGGUUAUCUACCUCAGAGACUGGGAUAACUACUGGAAACGGUAGCUAAUACCGGAUGAUAUAUACAAUGAUACGUUGUUGUAUAGUAAAAGGAGCCUUUAAAGCUUCACUUUGAGAUGAGCCUGCGCUGUAUUAGCUAGUUGGUAAGGUAAUGGCUUACCAAGGCGACGAUGCAUAGCCGACCUGAGAGGGUGAUCGGCCACACUGGGACUGAGACACGGCCCAGACUCCUACGGGAGACAGCAGUUAGGGAUAUUCGUCAAUGGAGGAAACUCUGAACGAGCAAUGCCGCGUGAGUGAUGACAGUUCUUUGGAUUGUAAAACUCUGUUGUUAGGGAAGAACGACCUAUAUAGGAAAUGAUAUAGGAGUGACUACCCUUUCGAGAAAGCUCCGGCUAACUACGUGCCUGCAGCCGCGGUAAU
rnacentral:rRNA from 1 species